rnacentral:rRNA from 1 species
UGGAUCCAGACUUUGAUUCUGGCUCAGGACGAACGCUGGCGGCGCGCCUAACACAUGCAAGUCGAACGGAGCUGAGAGGAGCUUGCUUUUCUCAGCUUAGUGGCGAACGGGUGAGUAACGCGUGAGUAACCUGCCCUGGAGUGGGGGACAACAGUUGGAAACGACUGCUAAUACCGCAUAAGCCCACGAUCCGGCAUCGGAUUGAGGGAAAAGGAUUUAUUCGCUUCAGGAUGGACUCGCGUCCAAUUAGCUAGUUGGUGAGGUAACGGCCCACCAAGGCGACGAUUGGUAGCCGGACUGAGAGGUUGAACGGCCACAUUGGGACUGAGACACGGCCCAGACUCCUACGGGAGGCAGCAGUGGGGGAUAUUGCACAAUGGGGGAAACCCUGAUGCAGCGACGCCGCGUGGAGGAAGAAGGUUUUCGGAUUGUAAACUCCUGUCGUUAGGGACGAUAAUGACGGUACCUAACAAGAAAGCACCGGCUAACUACGUGCCAGCAGCCGCGGUAAAACGUAGGGUGCAAGCGUUGUCCGGAAUUACUGGGUGUAAAGGGAGCGCAGGCGGACCGGCAAGUUGGAAGUGAAAACUAUGGGCUCAACCCAUAAAUUGCUUUCAAAACUGCUGGCCUUGAGUAGUGCAGAGGUAGGUGGAAUUCCCGGUGUAGCGGUGGAAUGCGUAGAUAUCGGGAGGAACACCAGUGGCGAAGGCGACCUACUGGGCACCAACUGACGCUGAGGCUCGAAAGCAUGGGUAGCAAACAGGAUUAGAUACCCUGGUAGUCCAUGCCGUAAACGAUGAUUACUAGGUGUUGGAGGAUUGACCCCUUCAGUGCCGCAGUUAACACAAUAAGUAAUCCACCUGGGGAGUACGACCGCAAGGUUGCAACUCAAAUGAAUUGACGGA